rnacentral:rRNA from 1 species
GGCGCACGGGUGAGUAACGCGUAUGCAAACCUACCUAUACAGGACGGGGAAUAACCCGGCGAAAGUCGGACUAAUACCGCAUAAAACAGGGGCACCGCAUGGUGAUAUUUGUUAAAGAAAUUCGCUGAUAGAUGGGCAUGCGUUCCAUUAGGUAGUUGGUGAGGUAACGGCUCACCAAGCCGACGAUGGAUAGGGGAACUGAGAGGUUGGUCCCCCACACUGGUACUGAGACACGGACCAGACUCCUACGGGAGGCAGCAGUGAGGAAUAUUGGUCAAUGGGCGAGAGCCUGAACCAGCCAAGUCGCGUGAAGGAAGAAGGAUCUAUGGUUCGUAAACUUCUUUUGCAGGGGAAUAAAGUGCAGGACGUGUCCUGUUUUGUAUGUACCCUGAGAAUAAGGAUCGGCUAACUCCGUGCCAGCCGCGGC